rnacentral:lncRNA from 1 species
GUUAAAGAAUGACACAAAUUAUGAAGUGGUCAUUAUGAUGCUGUUUUAUCUCUCAUUGCUACUUUAUCUCUCUUUCUUUUAACAGUCUGAGAAGUCAGUAUUAUUACUACUGUGUUUGAGAUGGGUGUCUUGCUAAGUUGCCAAGCUUGGCCUUCAACUUGUGACCCUCCUGUCUCAGCCUAUCAAGUAGUAGGGGCUACAGUUGCCCCAUGGUGUUAAUGAACAUGGACCAGUUGAAGCCCCUCAGAACAUAUGUCAGAUUUGCCCUACUAGAAGAGAUUAAGUUGAAGUGCUGGCACAUUUACACAAACCAGCACGCAUUGGUCUCAGGUGGUUUUGUUAAGGUCCAUCCAUCCAGUGUUACAUGGCCUGGGGGUGAGUUGCAGAAACAG